GACGAACGCUGGCGGCGUGCUUAACACAUGCAAGUCGAACGGAAAGGCCCUGCUUUUGUGGGGUGCUCGAGUGGCGAACGGGUGAGUAACACGUGAGUAACCUGCCCUUGACUUUGGGAUAACUUCAGGAAACUGGGGCUAAUACCGGAUAGGAGCUCCUGCUGCAUGGUGGGGGUUGGAAAGUUUCGGCGGUUGGGGAUGGAAUCGCGGCUUAUCAGCUUGUUGGUGGGGUAGUGGCUUACCAAGGCUUUGACGGGUAGCCGGCCUGAGAGGGUGACCGGCCACAUUGGGACUGAGAUACGGCCCAGACUCCUCCGGUAGGCAGCAGUGGGGAAUAUUGCACAAUGGGCGGAAGCCUGAUGCAGCAACGCCGCGUGCGGGAUGACGGCCUUCGGGUUGUAAACCGCUUUCGCCUGUGACGAAGCGUGAGUGACGGUAAUGGGUAAAGAAGCACCGGCUAACUACGUG
rnacentral:rRNA from 1 species